UUAAGCUGUGCACCUUGACCAGUUGGUUGUGGCUCUAUGUGUCAAGACCUCCCGCUGCAGCUGUAAGGUUCUGUGACCUGAUCAAGGGUUAAAGAGGAUUCCAUAACCCACACUAUAAUAGAAGAUCUGCAUCCUAGCAAAUGAGGCCCGGUGGGCCUGCAAGAAUUGCAGCCUCUCUGGGGGCCCACUCUUGACUCCAUCCUUACAUACAUGACCCUGGACCAAGCCUGGAAUCUCCACAGCCUCAUUAUCACUCUCAGCCUUGGUUUUGAUAUCAAGAAAUCAUGGGAAGCAAAGGAGACAACCUCAUGGCGUGAUUUCGAGGCUAAACUGAUCCAAAUCCAGGCCUUCACAUGUUUUUGGACAAAGUUCUUUGUGAAGGUUAUUUUCGUCAUGAGAGUGAUUAAUGUCAUGUGUUGGCCACGGAGAGACUAGUGUACCCCUGUGGGAAGAACUUGGCAGAGGAGUGAAGCAGAGCCCGAGUUAAUUUUAGAAAUCUUCAAUGUUGCAGGGGGGCGACAAGGGGAACUCAGUUCUGCCAAGGAUGAACUAACUACCUGAGAACAUUAAGCCCCCAAAGGACAGCUUUUGCAUCUGGUCUCUCUCCUUCCCUGCUCCUUGUUCGUCACAGAACAGGAAGCCUGCCU
rnacentral:lncRNA from 1 species